rnacentral:rRNA from 1 species
AUUGAACGCUGGCGGAAUGCCUUACACAUGCAAGUCGAGCGGCAGCACGGGGGCAAUCCUGGUGGCGAGCGGCGAACGGGUGAGUAAUACAUCGGAACAUGCCCAGUCGUGGGGGAUAACGCGUCGAAAGAAGUGCUAAUACCGCAUACGUCCUGAGGGAGAAAGCGGGGGAGCUUCGGAACUUGCGCGAUUGGAGGGGCCGGUGUCAGCUUAGGUAGUUGGUGGGGUAAAGGCCUACCAAGGCAACGAUCUGUAGCUGGUCUGAAAGGAUGAUCCGCCACACUGGGACUGAGACACGGCCCCGACUCCUACGGGAGUCAGCAGUGGGGAAUUGUGGACAAUGGGGGCCACCCUGAUCCAGCCAUUCCGCGUGAGUGAAGAAGGCCUUCGGGUUGUAAAGCUCUUUCGGCAGGAACGAAACGGCGAGCUCUAACAUAGCUUGCUAAUGACGGUACCUGAAGAAGAAGCACCGGCUAACUCUGUGCCAGCCGCCGCGGUAAAAC